rnacentral:ncRNA from 1 species
AAACCGACACAUUUGACCCCUUCAACCGAGACCUAUAGGGUCAUUAAACUACGUCUCUAAUACCUCUACCUGAGGGUGGUAGAGGAAUACUAACUUCA